UAUUAAUUAAGGGCAUUAUAGUAAUUUCCAGUGUAUAAAUUUUUUGGGUGGCGGUGGCUCCCCCUUGCCACCCCCCAGUUCCGCCACUCUGCGAUCUGUUAUCUUCAAGUGCUCUGUGUUUGACAUGUUAGAACAUUUCCUGCAAGGGGUUGGUGUACAACAGGCUAAGAGUGAUUGACUAGCAAAGGGGUGUCCAGAACUCAGAAGAUGCGUAAUUAGAAGCAAUGUUUGAUUUAUAUAAAGAAGAUUGAAAACUGCUCUUUAUGUACUCUGCUAAAAUCUUUAUUUGUUCGUUGUUAUUCAAAAUUUGAUGGUGUUAUACUUGCAUUAUUUUUGAAGUAUUAAAGCUAUCAUAGACAUGCGUAUAUUUGUUAUGAACUUAUGAUUCGUUCGUCAACGGAAUGAGUCCAUUGUUGUUAUGAUGUAAAUAUAUUGAAUCAAUAAUCACACUGCUUCUACUUAUAAUGUUUA